AUUGAACGCUGGCGGCAGGCCUAACACAUGCAAGUCGAGCGGAUGAAGAGAGCUUGCUCUCUGAUUCAGCGGCGGACGGGUGAGUAAUGCCUAGGAAUCUGCCUGAUAGUGGGGGACAACGUUUCGAAAGGAACGCUAAUACCGCAUACGUCCUACGGGAGAAAGCAGGGGACCUUCGGGCCUUGCGCUAUCAGAUGAGCCUAGGUCGGAUUAGCUAGUUGGUGAGGUAACGGCUCACCAAGGCGACGAUCCGUAACUGGUCUGAGAGGAUGAUCAGUCACACUGGAACUGAGACACGGUCCAGACUCCUACGGGAGGCAGCAGUGGGGAAUAUUGGACAAUGGGCGAAAGCCUGAUCCAGCCAUGCCGCGUGUGUGAAGAAGGUCUUCGGAUUGUAAAGCACUUUAAGUUGGGAGGAAGGGCAUUAACCUAAUUAC
rnacentral:rRNA from 1 species